AAAUUUGCGUUUUACAAGGACAACGAAGAAGCUGCCUUCGUGAUAUUUGAUGCGACCGGAAGUACAAUUACUAGCUGGUUCUCUUCAUCAAAUAUUGUGGAUUCAUCAUGGACCACACUUGCCACAGAUUCUUUUAAUAUUUUCUCCAUCUAUGGUCAUGAUCCAGGUAGAAGGUUUAUGAUAAAUCUUCAUUAUGGUGGAUGCCCUGUGGAUGCCGGAUAUUCGAUUAUUGUUAUUAAUAAUGCACUACCUUGUACGUACGACAUACAAUCGUCUUACCCACAAUUCAUUAUUUCUACAUCCGCAACUUCCGGCAAUCCCGAAGCGAUGACAGGAAUGGACAAAGCAGAUGUUAUGGCCAUAUUCAUAAAAUAAAAACAUGUCGAGAAGUUUAACGUCGUAUAUGUAUCUACAUUUGAG